GACGUAGGGCGCGAGCGUUGUCCGGAUUUAUUGGGCGUAAAGAGCUCGUAGGCGGCUUGUCGCGUCGACUGUGAAAACCCGCAGCUCAACUGCGGGCCUGCAGUCGAUACGGGCAGGCUAGAGUUCGGUAGGGGAGACUGGAAUUCCUGGUGUAGCGGUGAAAUGCGCAGAUAUCAGGAGGAACACCGGUGGCGAAGGCGGGUCUCUGGGCCGAUACUGGCGCUGAGGAGCGAAAGCGUGGGGAGCGAACAGG
rnacentral:rRNA from 1 species